rnacentral:rRNA from 1 species
GUGGGGAAUAUUGCACAAUGGGCGAAAGCCUGAUGCAGCAACGCCGCGUGAGUGAUGAAGGCCUUCGGGUCGUAAAACUCUGUCCUCAAGGAAGAUAAUGACGGUACUUGAGGAGGAAGCCCCGGCUAACUACGUGCCAGCAGCCGCGGUAAUACGUAGGGGGCUAGCGUUAUCCGGAUUUACUGGGCGUAAAGGGUGCGUAGGCGGUCUUUCAAGUCAGGAGUGAAAGGCUACGGCUCAACCGUAGUAAGCUCUUGAAACUGGGAGACUUGAGUGCAGGAGAGGAGAGUGGAAUUCCUAGUGUAGCGGUGAAAUGCGUAGAUAUUAGGAGGAACACCAGUUGCGAAGGCGGCUCUCUGGACUGUAACUGACGCUGAGGCACGAAAGCGUGGGGAGCAAACAGG